GGCUCUUUAGCGUUAGUUUCCAAUCCGCUUCUACGAACAGUCCACGCUCCACUUUAUGAACGAAGCAAUGCUCUUGUAGUUAUCAACUGUGGGACUCUGAAAAAUAAUAUUCCAAAAGUCUCUAGAACUGUAAGUCCGAGUAUGUCUGACGUUUCAAUCCGUAUUAAGCGGCUUUUAGAAGACUGUGACGAC